GUCACUGGAGAAGGUCACACAGGGCCUCAUUUAGGUGGCUUUGGAAUAUCUUCAAAGCAAGAGACUCCACAACCUCCCUGGGAAGACUGUUCCUGUGCUCCCUCACCCUCAGAGUUUGCAAAGAAAUUGAAAAGAUUUCUGGAUAUCCAGUAGGGACACACAAUUUGUAUUCAGAACCAGCUUCCGAAGUGACACCAUCCUGGAAAAUAUUUGAAGGAACAUGCCCUUCCCAAAGAGAGGAGAUGAGGAGACAGCUCACAUUCCAUAAAGAUCACCUUCUUGGAGACCAGUAAAUGCCUCAUUUGCAAGAUGUGCUGUUGCAGUGGAGGAAGGAGCCCACGAGAGGGCUCAGGGAAGCAGCCCUGGACCAGCAUCCCUGCAGGGCAGCGUAAACAACUCUGUCAUUUGUUUUUAUAAAGUCAUCAGUGCCACUGAACACAAACCAGCACCCACUGAUGAGGCCGAGGCAAUGCACUUAGAACCACCACCAGAGCAUGGCUCAAUCCCACCAGUACCUCCAGCAGAACAGUUGCCUUGGUGAAAUGUUACCCCAAAGUUAACAGUUUAUCUGUUUUCACGCUUAUCUCUUCACUAAUGGUAAUUUAAUAUCAUGCUUAUUUCUUCACUAAUGGUAAUUUAAGUAAAUAAAAG